CACACUCGUUCGCUCUCUCUCUCUCUCUCUCUCUCUCUCUCUGCGACGGCGGCGGAGGAUGGCGUGGUGGGAUCGGGUGGCAUCGCCGAUGAGGAGGGCCUGGGCUGGCUUCGCCACCCGGCUCGGGAUCCGCAAGUCCGGGCUGAUGCGGCUGAGGCGGGAGGUGAGGACGUGCGAGUACGAGGACGUGCACGUGAUGUGGGAAAUGCUGACGGAGUCGCGGCGAGCGGGGCCGUACCGGGCCGCGGAGGCGGAGGCAGCGGCGAGGAGGAAGGGGAGUCGCCGGCGGGACGGGUCGCACGUGUGGGCGUUGCUCGGGUAGCUCCGAUUCGGCCUUCUGCCGCAGGUCCUAGAGGCACCGCACGCGUGGGGGAAAUUGUAAUCCGUUCGAUCUUGCGAUGUCGCUACGAUGGCUGCUUUGUAAAUACCAGGUUUCGAGAGGGUGGGUGUGGCAGCGUGAGGCGUGUAUAAAUAUUAUAAUAUCAUAAGGCUGCUGCUAUUGGUUGA